rnacentral:snRNA from 1 species
GGAUGUGAGGUCGAUCUGGCUAUGACAUCUGUCACCCCAUUGCUCACCAGGAUUGAUUUGGCUGGCUAGGUGGGUGUCCCAUUCCUCCCUCACCACUCCAGUUUUUGUGGGUUUUUUUCUAUAAUUUAGACUUUUUAAAUUUUGAUAAAGUCAGAGACAUAUAGGGUUAGGGAAGACAAAAGAGAUAGAACAAGAAAGAGAUGCUUAUAGCCUCCUUCAUUACUUG